rnacentral:misc_RNA from 1 species
GCAUCGAUGAAGAACGCAGCGAAAUGCGAUAAGUAAUGUGAAUUGCAGAAUUCAGUGAAUCAUCGAAUCUUUGAACGCAACUUGCGCUCUCUGGUAUUCCGGAGAGCAUGCCUGUUUGAGUGUCAUGAAAUCUCAACCAUUAGGGUUUCUUAAUGGCUUGGAUUUGGACGUUUGCCAGUCAAAUGGCUCGUCUUAAAAGAGUUAGUGAAUUUAACAUUUGUCUUCUGGCGUAAUAAGUUUCGCUGGGCUGAUAGUGUGAAGUUUGCUUCUAAUCGUCCGCAAGGACAAUUCUUGAACUCUGGCCUCAAAUCAGGUAGGACUACCCGCUGAACUUAAGCAUAUCAAUAAGCGGAGGAC